rnacentral:rRNA from 1 species
AUUGAACGCUAGCGGCAUGCCUAACACAUGCAAGUCGAACGAGUGGCGGACGGGUGAGUAAUGUCUGGGAAACUGCCUGAUGGAGGGGGAUAACUACUGGAAACGGUAGCUAAUACCGCAUACCAUCGGAUGUGCCCAGAUGGGAUUAGCUAGUAGGUGGGGUAACGGCUCACCUAGGCGACGAGCCCUAGCUGGUCUGAGAGGAUGACCAGCAACACUGGAAAGGAGAAACGGGCCAGAAUCGUACGGGAGGCAGCAGGGGGGAAUAUUGCCAAAUGGGCGCAAGCCUGAUGCAGCCAGGCCGCGUGUAUGAAGAAGGCCUUCGGGUUGUAAAGGACUUUCAGCGGGGAGGCGUUACCCGCAGAAGAAGCACCGGCUAACUCCGUGCCAGCAGCCGCGGUAAUUC